GACGAACGCUGGCGGCGUGCUUAACACAUGCGAGUCGAACGGAAAGGCCCUGCUUUUGUGGGGUGCUCGAGUGGCGAACGGGUGAGUAACACGUGAGUAACCUGCCCUUGACUUUGGGAUAACUUCAGGAAACUGGGGCUAAUACCGGAUAGGAGCUCCUGCUGCAUGGUGGGGGUUGGAAAGUUUCGGCGGUUGGGGAUGGACUCGCGGCUUAUCAGCUUGUUGGUGGGGUAGUGGCUUACCAAGGCUUUGACGGGUAGCCGGCCUGAGAGGGUGACCGGCCACAUUGGGACUGAGAUACGGCCCAGACUCCUACGGGAGGCAGCAGUGGGGAAUAUUGCACAAUGGGCGGAAGCCUGAUGCAGCAACGCGGCGUGCGGGAUGACGGCCUUCGGGUUGUAAACCGCUUUCGCCUGUGACGAAGCGUGAGUGACGGUAAUGGGUAAAGAAGCACCGGCUAACUACGUG
rnacentral:rRNA from 1 species